AGUUCUCAUAAGGAAAUCUAAGUCAACCCCCAGCUUUGACAGGUGAAGUCCUCUGGGAGGCUAGCUGUUCCAGGAGCCAGGACAACACUGGAAUGUCCUUCCAAACCAAGACCCAAACAGCUGAGGAGCUCCAGUUACCCAAGAUGUGGGAUGCAGCGUGAUCGUAACAGAGGCCAUGCGUGUUUGGGUAGAACUGUGGAGGGUCACACAGGUUUCACGCCGGCCUCUGAGGAGAUCUCCGUUGUGCUACACAGACUCAGCUGUGAGCUUGGACACUGUAUAUCGUUCCCAUUUUACUGUGGCUCACUUUACUCGAGUGGGAAAAGAAGAUGCGUUCCAGAGAAAUCAUACUUGGACUUGGAGAUUUUGAUCCUUUCCUGGGCUGGCCACACGGAUCUUUGAUGCCUUUUCAUCUAGGGUAGCAGCAGCAAGCUGUUCCCAGGGAGCCCCAUGGCCAUGAAGUAACUGGUCCUACUGUGUUCCCAGGGAGCCCCAUGGCCAUGAAGUGACUGGUCCUAUUGUGUUCCCAGGGAGCCCCAUGCCAUGAAGUGACUGGUCCUACUGUGUUUCCAGGGAGUCCCAUGGCCAUGAAGUGACUGGUCCUACUGUGUUCCGGGCAAAUGAGCCAAGAUGCUUGCCAGACUGGGAUGUCAAGCACACCCUCGACUGCUGCUGGCUUUUCAUUUAUGACGGCUAUGGCCCAGGUGCUCUUGAACCAAACAGCUAGUAAAGUCACGUGCAUCUCAGAGCAUGGGGUUUUUGUGUUGGGUAUUCUUUUAGUUAUUCUUUGGCAUUUUGCGUGUGUUUACGACGUGUCGUGAUUAUAUUUACCAGACCUGAAGCAGGAGGAUGGAAAAGGCAAGG
ensembl:lncRNA